rnacentral:lncRNA from 1 species
AUCAAUUCUUGUAACCAUUGGGUUAAUUGGUUAAUUGGAUUUGUUGAUGUUUUGGCAGAAAAAUUGGAUUAGCAAAGAUCAAAGGAGAAUGAAAUGACAUGAACUUUUGCUUGCUUACAUUGUUGGUGAAGACCAAAGCUAAAAAUGGAAAAAGUUGAAAACAAAAAUCCAGAAAACCAGGGGAGGGAGGCGCAGCACUGUGUUGCUG